CUCUGUGACUCCUACGGGGAGGCAGCAGUGGGGGAAUAUUGCACAAUGGGCGCAAGCCUGAUGCAGCCAUGCCGCGUGUAUGAAGAAGGCCUUCGGGUUGUAAAGUACUUUCAGCAGUGAGGAAGGCGGGUACGUUAAUAGCGUGCUCGUUUGACGUUAGCUGCAGAAGAAGCACCGGCUAACUCCGUGCCAGCAGCCGCGGUAAUACGGAGGGUGCGAGCGUUAAUCGGAAUUACUGGGCGUAAAGCGCAUGCAGGUGGUUUGUUAAGUCAGAUGUGAAAGCCCGGGGCUCAACCUCGGAAUUGCAUUUGAAACUGGCAGACUAGAGUACUGUAGAGGGGGGUAGGAAUUUCAGGUGUAGCGGUGAAAUGCGUAGAGAUCUGAAGGAAUACCGGUGGCGAAGGCGGCCCCCUGGACAGAUACUGACACUCAGAUGCGAAAGCGUGGGGAGCAAACAGGAUUAGAUACCCUGGUAG
rnacentral:rRNA from 1 species